CGUAUAUUAUUAUAUGUAUAUAUAUAAAUAAAAUUCUUAGUUGGGGCAACUAAAAAAUAUAUUAAACUUUUUUUUUUAAAAAAAUGACCCAUUAUUAAUGAUAAUAUGAAAAAAAUACUCUAGGGAUAACAGCGUAAUAAUUUUUGAUAGAUCUUAUAGACAAAAUAGUUUGCGACCUCGAUGUUGGAUUAGGAUACUUUUUUAAUGAAGAUGUUAAAAAAAGAAGUUUGUUCAACUUUUAAAUUCCUACUUGAUCGA
rnacentral:rRNA from 1 species